GAAUGCAUUAUGUUUAAUGUUGUGCUGUAAAAAAAAAGUUUUAUUAAUGUAAGAUUGCUAGCUGACCAAACUAAUCAAAAUCAAUUUUGUUAGCAAUACUUUCUUUUGGGCUAAUCUCUUUGUGAGGUGUCUGGAAGGAUCAGAUGUGACCAGAGUAGGCUGUUGCUUUAAACAUUUAAUAAAGAGGCAAACCAGUAACCGAAUACAAAAACAGUCAAAGAUAAGAGAGAGAGAGAGAGAGAGAGAACUGAGAGAAACAAAACACACUGAAUGUAGGCAUGUAUGUUAUUAUAUGUGAUUGUGUGUAUGUGAGUCUGUGUGUGAAGGUGUUUGAGAUUUUGUGUCAUUGCAUGUGAUGUCAGUGUUCGGAUGUAUCAUCAUUUCUCUCCCAGGCUGAGUGAGUGUAAUCUCACAGAGAAAAGCUGUGCAGCUCUGUCCUUAGCUCUCAGUUCAAAUUCCUCCAGUCUGAGAGAACUGAAUCUGAGUGACAAUAAACUGCAGGAUUCAGGAGUGGAGCUGCUCUCUGCUGGACUGAAGAAUCCACACUGUAAACUGGAAAUACUGAGGUUGCGUUACUGUAAUCUUACAGAGAAUAUCAUCAGCUCUCAGCUCAAACUCCUCCAGUCUGAAAGAACUGAACCUCAGUAAAAAUGAACUGCAGGAUUCAGGAGUGAAGCUACUGUCUGCUGGACUAAAGAAUCAACACUGUAAACUGGAGGUACUGAGGCUGGAACUCUGCAGUGUUACACACAAAGGCUGUUUUGCUCUUGCUUCAGCUCUAAAAUUAAACCCCUCCUCUCAUCUGAGAGAGCUGAAUCUGAACUCCAAUAAACCAGGAAAGUCAGGAGGAAAGCUAUUCUCUGGUCUACUGGAGGAUCCACACUGUAAACUGGAGACACUACACAUCUGAACACCAUCCAGCUAAUCUGCUCUCACACACAGAGGGUUGUGAGGAGAGGAUGAAGUCUUAGUUGAAACACACACUCAGUAUAUGGUUCUACAAGGUACUUUGUGUUUGUUUGGGUUCUUAUUGGUCAAACCUGUGAAUAUGGCUGCAACUCAGGACUGUGUGAUCAUCUCAUGACAUCACUUCCUGAACACCUUUAACUGCAACCUCAGAGACCUGUUCAUCAAACUCCUCACAUUGGUGGAUGAUUGGUGAUGAGUAUGUAGAAGAGGGAGGAGAACCAUUUGUCAUGGAAACAACAUGAGCUGAACAUGCAAAACCAGCUGAUAGAGUUUACAAGCAUUAAAAUCAUGAGCUCUACAGCUGGUUCAUAGUAUUGAGCUUAUGUUUUUAAUGUUUAUCAACUUUAAUCUCUGUACAUUACUUUAUAAUCACAGUGACCCUCUUGAACAUCUGAAUUAUAGGCAGAUUAUUCAGAGUGGCCACUUGCAAAGGCCCACAGGAGGCUCUGUGACUCAGUAGGAGAGAUAUUUUGUAAAUAAGUUGUUGUGCUUGGUUAAAAUCUGUGAUAUGUGUGGGUAAUUAGGCAGUGUUAGUGUUUACAAUGAGCAGAGAGUUCAUGGCUAGAGGUGACCUGUCUGCUUCCCGGCCAUUUCAGCAUGCUGAGCACCAC